rnacentral:rRNA from 1 species
UGGGGAAUUUUGGGACAAUGGGGGGAAACCCCUGAUCCAGCCAUCCCGCGUGUGCGAUGAAGGCCUUCGGGUUGUAAAGCACUUUUGGCAGGAAAGAAACGUCGCGGGUUAAUACCCCGCGAAACUGACGGUACCUGCAGAAUAAGCACCGGCUAACUACGUGCCAGCAGCCGCGGUAAUACGUAGGGUGCAAGCGUUAAUCGGAAUUACUGGGCGUAAAGCGUGCGCAGGCGGUUCGGAAAGAAAGAUGUGAAAUCCCAGAGCUUAACUUUGGAACUGCAUUUUUAACUACCGGGCUAGAGUGUGUCAGAGGGAGGUGGAAUUCCGCGUGUAGCAGUGAAAUGCGUAGAUAUGCGGAGGAACACCGAUGGCGAAGGCAGCCUCCUGGGAUAACACUGACGCUCAUGCACGAAAGCGUGGGGAGCAAACAGGAUUAGAUACCCUGGUAGUCCACGCCCUAAACGAUGUCAACUAGCUGUUGGGGCCUUCGGGCCUUGGUAGCGCAGCUAACGCGUGAAGUUGACCGCCUGGGGAGUACGGUCGC